rnacentral:misc_RNA from 1 species
CGACGGCAUCUCCUCCCCGCCUCUUCAGUUGUUGGCACGAGCGUGUGCUCGUCCGAUACCGGUUAUCCUGUGCUGAAUACCUAUGGAGAUGGCAUUGUGUCGGCUAUGAUCGUUCGUCUCCCGCCUUUGAGCCGCCGCACCACAUGGGGCGGCCGGAUCGGGCGGGCCGAAUCGCGCACGCCGUGUGUCGCACCGCGCUCGCCGCCACUGGCGUUCGGGUUGACGACCCUCGGCGUUGUGCUCGAUCUCUCGGAUGCGGUGCACGACGUGGGUACGAGGCCAACGGAACGGCCUCCGAGCUCCACAAACAAGCGUUCUACGCUUCGUGCGAACGACUGUCGGUUCGGUGUUUGGCCGUGCUCUUGUAGCUCGGUUCAAGCCGUGCCGGCGU